rnacentral:ncRNA from 1 species
AAAGGGGUGCUGAUAUGCGCACUUGUCAGGACGCACGGGCGUGCGCGCCUUGCCAUAUCGGCUGAGAUGAUACCCGACGAACCUGAUACGGAUAAUGCCGUCGUAGGGAGACAAAGU